UCGAGAAGCGAUGUCAGAUGCGAGCAAGACCUGAGCCAACAAGUCUAGUCUCUAUCAACACACACAAAUUUGGAUCCUGAUAUUGCAUCAAUCUUCUAUAAGUUAAGCGGAAGGAUGAUUUCUCCUCUCCUUGCACAUUCUAAAAUACAAUCUUUAUAUUUAAUAUUCAAGGUUCUGCGAUGAGCACCCAGAUGAGCCAACCAAAGCGCCCCCACUUUCCUUCUUCACCUCCUAGUUUUCCCCU
rnacentral:lncRNA from 1 species